AUUGAACGCUGGCGGCAGGCCUAACACAUGCAAGUCGAUCGAGCGGCGUACGGGUGAGUAAUGUAUGGGGACUGCCCGCUAGAGGGGGAUAACUACUGGAAACGGUGGCUAAUACCGCAUACUAUCGGAUAACCCAUAUGGGAUUAGCUAGUAGGUGGGGUAAAGGCUCACCUAGGCGACGUUCUCUAGCUGGUCUGAGAGGAUGAUCGGCCACACUGGGACUGAGACACGGCCCAGACCCCUACGGAGGCAGCAGGGGGGAAUAUUGCCCAAUGGGCGCAAGCCUGAGGCAGCCAGGCCGCGUGUAUGAAGAAGGCCUUAGGGUUGUAAAGUAUGUUCAGCGGGGAGGCGUUACCGGAAGAAGAAGCACCGGCUAACUACGUGCCAGCAGCCGCGGUAAUUC
rnacentral:rRNA from 1 species